rnacentral:misc_RNA from 1 species
UGUGGGAGCGGGCUUGCUCGCGAAAGCGUCGUGUCAGUCGAUACAUCUUCGGCUGAUAAACCGCUUUCGCGAGCAAGCCCGCUCCCACA